AAUAUCAAAGGUGAGCCAGUACAGGAUGGACCCGCGUCUGAUUAGCUAGUUGGUAAGGUAACGGCUUACCAAGGCGACGAUCAGUAGCCGACCUGAGAGGGGGAUCGGCCACAUUGGAACUGAGACACGGUCCAAACUCCUACGGGAGGCAGCAGUGGGGAAUAUUGCACAAUGGGCGAAAGCCUGAUGCAGCAACGCCGCGUGAGUGAUGAAGGCCUUCGGGUCGUAAAACUCUGUCCUCAAGGAAGAUAAUGACGGUACUUGAGGAGGAAGCCCCGGCUAACUACG
rnacentral:rRNA from 1 species